AUGCCGGCGACUUUGCGGCCUUCUUCUCAUCAGUGGGCCGACCUCCUGCCGGAGCUCCUAGGGCGGGUCAUCGACCGCCUCCCGCGCCCCGACGAUCGUGCUCGCUUCCGUGCCGUGUGCCGUCCAUGGCACCUUGCCGUGCGCCAGCAUAAUCGUCCGCAGCUGUCGUGGAUCAUCUACUUGGAUGGCACCUUUGUCACCUUCCCUGAUCAUGGUAUUCAUCACGGGCUAUCACUCCUCCACGACACGACCUUCAUCGGCGUCUGUAACAACUGGCCCGUCUUUUACCGGAUCGCUAACGGUAGGCGUAUUCAUCUCUUGCAUAACCCUUUCACAGAAUCAACGGUGCCGCUCCCAGGGCUCGACUCCGUCAUCGAUGAUACCUCUGACCUGUUCGAGAUUCGGAAGGUAAUCAUGCCGUCGACCGAAGAUGAUAUCAUUGCGGUGACGACCAGCAAUUGCAAUUACCCGAUCACCUUGUGUCGCCUUGGGAAGCCCGGCGCAUGGUGGCCCCAACGGGGAGAGAUGCCGUAUGCGUCUAUAUAUGAUGUCGUGUUCUAUAGAGGCAAACUAUGUGGGAUCACUAAGGGCAAUGAUCUUGUUGUGAUGGAUAUUGGUGAAGACAAUGACGGAAUCCCUGUUGUUAAAAAUGUAAAGUAUAUUAUCAAGCACCCACCGGGUGAUGAUGAUGAUGAGGAGGAGGAAGAAUACGAAGAUGAUGGACAAGUGUCGAGCAAUGACGAAGAAGAAGAGGUGGUGUACAAUGAAGCGUCAAGCAUCGACGAGGACGACGAAGAGUUGGACGAUGCAUCGAUUGUCAACGACGACUCUGACGAUGAUAAGGUAACAAUGAACAAACCGGCAAACAAGGACAACAACUUUAACAUUGAUGACCACGAAGAAGUGUUGAGCAAUGAGGAUGAAGAAGAAGUGGAUGAUGGAGAUUAUGAUGAUGGGUCGAGUAUCUUAGGUGAUUCAUUUUUUCAAGGCAUGAGACCGAACACCUUGGACUACAUGGUUCCGGACGGCACUGAGCAGCUCUUUUGUCCACACGGAGAAGACCUAGAUGCCAUCAUAACCAGUCGACAUCUCUUUGAGUUGAAUGGCAAGUUAUUCAUGCUCAGGCGGCAACAAUAUGUGCAUGUAUUCUCUCGUCGCUACAAUCUUAAGAUCGAGGUCUUGGAGGCAGACGUCAAAACAGGCGUAUGGAUUCUGCGGAUGGACGGCGUGCCAGGUGCAUUCUUCGUGAGCCAACAUUACUCAAAACAUGUCCCCACAUACCAAGAGGCAAGAAAGAAGUUUAUCCACCACUUUGUAGACGAGCAUAACGUAGGGGUCGAUUCAAGAUCUCAACGGUUUACUCUAUGGGAUGGAAAGCCGACGUGGUUCUUCCCGCAAGAGCCGGUUGUAUGA
rnacentral:rRNA from 1 species